GCGGCUGUGGCGGAACUGGUAGACGCGCAAGGUUGAGGGCCUUGUGUCCCCAACGGGACGUGAUGGUUCGACUCCAUUCAGCCGCA
rnacentral:tRNA from 1 species